rnacentral:rRNA from 1 species
UGGGGAAUAUUGCACAAUGGGCGCAAGCCUGAUGCAGCGACGCCGCGUGCGGGAUGGAGGCCUGGUUGUAACCGCUUUGUUCAAGGGCAAGGCAGGCUUUCGGGCCUGUUGAGUGGAUUGUUCGAAUAAGCACCGGCUAACUACGUGCC